AGGACUAUAGCUCAGCUGGUUAGAGCGCUACCUUGACAUGGUAGAGGUCCCCGGUUCGAGUCCGGGUAGUCCUACCA
rnacentral:tRNA from 1 species